UACGGAGGGUGCAAGCGUUAAUCGGAAUUACUGGGCGUAAAGCGUGCGUAGGCGGUUCGUUAAGUCUGUUGUGAAAGCCCCCGGGCUCAACCUGGGAAUGGCAAUGGAUACUGGCGAGCUAGAGUGUGUCAGAGGAUGGUGGAAUUCCCGGUGUAGCGGUGAAAUGCGUAGAGAUCGGGAGGAACAUCAGUGGCGAAGGCGGCCAUCUGGGGACAACACUGACGCUGAGGCACGAAAAGCGUGGGGGAGCAAACAGG
rnacentral:rRNA from 1 species